rnacentral:piRNA from 1 species
UAACCACUGAGCCAUCUCACCAGCCCAUU